AUUGAACGCUGGCGGCAGGCCUAACACAUGCAAGUCGAGCGGGGUUUUCGGACCUAGCGGCGGACGGGUGAGUAAUGCGUAGGAAGCUACCCGAUAGAGGGGGAUACCAGUUGGAAACGACUGUUAAUACCGCAUAAUGUCUACGGACCAAAGUGUGGGACCUUCGGGCCACAUGCUAUCGGAUGCGCCUACGUGGGAUUAGCUAGUUGUUGAGGUAAUGGCUCACCAAGGCGACGAUCCCUAGCUGGUUGGAGAGGAUGAUCAGCCACACUGGAACUGAGAAACGGUCCAGACUCCUACGGGAGGCAGCAGUGGGGAAUAUUGGACAAUGGGCGCAAGCCUGAUCCAGCCAUGCCGCGUGUGUGAAGAAGGCCUUCGGGUUGUAAAGCACUUUCAGUAGGGAGGAAGCGUUGUGUGUUAAUAGUACACAGCGUUGACGUUACCUACAGAAGAAGCACCGGCUAACUCUGUGCCAGCAGCCGCCGCAGUAA
rnacentral:rRNA from 1 species